rnacentral:lncRNA from 1 species
GCAACUGGCCUAUUCCGAUUGAGGGCGCUGUGCAUAGUUAUGUCCCGCCAUGAUUGUACGGCGUUCGAAGUUUUACUUUUCGCGUUUUGUAAAAACUUCAUGAUUUUUACCACAAAAAGGACGUCAUUGGUGAAGUGUUGGACAGCCUAUGGAACCAUAUUUCCAUAUAAACAACUCAAAAGAUGGCCAAUUGAUGCAGACAGCUGUUAAGAAGUUAACAUCCAGCCUGUUCCUACUUAUUCAUCUCUUUGCCAUCAACCUUUCAAGACGACAUCACUAAUUGAUUAAGAGAAGAGUUACAAUGUAUGCAUCCAAAAAUUGGCACUGCGGUGAGAACGCAUCUGUGCUGGUCUACUGACACCAUUGUGCUGUCACUGGAGGGAGCCAGCAGAUAGACCACGCCCACCCAUUCCACUUUGUCACUAUCUGGUGGUCAUUAAAGGACACCAUUCAGGUUGAUGGGGUGUGCUGAUGAACAGUUGACCGACGGAGCAGGAAA